rnacentral:rRNA from 1 species
AGUGAACGCUGGCGGUAGGCCUAACACAUGCAAGUCGAACGGCAGCACAGUAAGAGCUUGCUCUUACGGGUGGCGAGUGGCGGACGGGUGAGGAAUACAUCGGAAUCUACUUUUUCGUGGGGGAUAACGUAGGGAAACUUACGCUAAUACCGCAUACGACCUACGGGUGAAAGCAGGGGAUCUUCGGACCUUGCGCGAUUGAAUGAGCCGAUGUCGGAUUAGCUAGUUGGCGGGGUAAAGGCCCACCAAGGCGACGAUCCGUAGCUGGUCUGAGAGGAUGAUCAGCCACACUGGAACUGAGACACGGUCCAGACUCCUACGGGAGGCAGCAGUGGGAAAUAUUGGACAAUGGGCGCAAGCCUGAUCCAGCCAUACCGCGUAGGUGAAGAAGGCCUUCGGGUUGUAAAGCCCUUUUGUUGGGAAAGAAAAGCAGCAGGUUAAUACCCCGCUGUUCUGACGGUACCCAAAGAAUAAACACCGGCUAACUUCGU